rnacentral:misc_RNA from 1 species
AACGCACCUUGCGCUCCUUGGUAUUCCUUGGAGCAUGCCUGUUUGAGUAUCAUGAAAUUCUCAAAGUAAAUCUUUUUGUUAAUUCAAUUGGUUUCACUUUGGAUUUGGAGGUCUAUUGCAGCUUCACACCUGCUCCUCUUUGUAUAUUAGCUGGAUCUCAGUGUUAUGCUUGGUUCCACUCGGCGUGAUAAGUUAUCUAUCGCUGAGGACACUUCUUUUUUUUUCUAAAAAAAAAAUAAAGGUGGCCAAGGGAAAUGCAGAUGAACCGCUUCCAAUAGUCCAUUAACUUGGACAAAUAUAUUUAUGAUCUGAUCUCAAAUCAGGUAGGACUACCCGCUGAACUUAA